rnacentral:rRNA from 1 species
GACGAACGCUGGCGGCGUGCCUAAUACAUGCAAGUAGGACGCAGUUGCGAACGGGUGAGUAACGCGUAGGUAACUACCUAUUAGAGGGGGAUAACUAUUGGAAACGAUAGCUAAUACCGCCUACUAGUAGAUGGACCUGCGUUGUAUUAGCUAGUAGGUAGGGUAAUGGCCUACCUAGGCCACGAUACAUAACCGACUGUGAAGGUUGAGCGGCAACGAUGGGCAUGGGACACGGCCCAGACUCCUACGGGAGGCAGCAGUAGGGAAGCGUGGGAAAUGGGGGGAACCCGGACCGAGCAACGCCGAGGGAGUGAAGAAGGUUUGCGGAUCGUAAAGCUCUGUUGUUAAGGAAGCGGUACUUAACCAGAAAGGGACGGCUAACUACGUGCCAGCCGCCGCGGUAAUUC